GGCUGCAGACCUGCCGGGGCGCAGAGAUGGAGAUGCCCAGAUGGCAGGGAGAGAUCCUAAACCCUCAGCCUUGCCCUGGCCCACCGCGGAAUGGCCCGGAGAGAUGGGGGGUUGGGGAAGAACAACAGGAUGGGGAAGGGAGGGCCAAUCAGGCUCAUCUGAAUGUAGGUCAGCCACACCCCACAUAUUGAAUACCAAGAAUCCAUCCCCUGAGAAAGGGCACCCAGGCCGGCCCUACCCCCAGCCUCGCGUCUGGUCCAAGGAGGUCCCAGGGCAGGAAUUAGAAGAGCAUGUCACUAUAUUUCCAGUUGGGGAGGGGUGCUGAGUCUGAGUGAGGAGGUGGUUUCAGUGCCAGGAGGAAUAGAAACUGGCCUGCGGACUGAAUGGGCCUUGAACCCCUGUGACCACUCCCUUCAAGAAUGUGCCCCAACCUUACGGACAAGUGACUCAAAGGAGCCUGAGGGGGAUGGGAGCAAGGAUUUGGCUGCCCACACUCCUUCACAAAGGUGAAGACCGUUGAGGGGAAAGAGGAUGAGGUGUCAGAGACAUCUAGUCUGCAGGAUGAGACCACCUGAGCCCACCAUCAACUGCUCUGACUCAGGCUUUCCAGGCCCCUCCAACCUAGACUUCCCGACUCAGAAAGUACUAGGAAGGAGACUGCAGGUGCAUGAUAUUUGAGUUUCACCUUCAUUAUUUAUGCUCCUCCUACUUCCAGAAAAGAUUUAAAGGCGGCUUACAAUAAAAGACAUAGAUAACAAGUAAAUAUUUAAAGAAUGG
ensembl:lncRNA novel transcript